AAGAGAAACCUAUAUUCAGCUGCAGCAGUGCCCUUGCAGAGAAGUGAUUUUCAAUGGGCUCACUUAACACUAUUUUAAUUGUUUUAAAAUGUUUCUAUGGGCUUUUGGAGGUCAGAAGCUGCUAAGUACUGAAGUCUUCCCCAGGGCUGUAGUCUGCGGGUUGGACAAAGGAAACCUGGAGAUUGUGAAAGGGAGCCUGGGAUGAACAGAAAUGAGGGACUUCUGGAAGCUCAUCUAGGACUAUGACUGGACACUCCUGAAAAGUUAUGUCUAUAGAGACCGAUGGACCAGUGAUUAGAAUUUCAGUACAGUAGGGAGACUGGAAUGUUUCUGGGCCAGAGGCUAACUACCUUCUGUUGGGCUAGUUCUAGCCCUCUGGAGCAGUCAUUCCUUGCUGAUCUCUGCAAGGCCUUUAACAUAAUAGAUUAAAAACCUUUGCAGACUCACAGUCUUCGGUCAGUCCCAAAGCUAAGAAUGUCAUCCGAUAGCAUCUUGGGUGUAUAGAAAAGUCUCCCCCAUCUUGCUGUAACCACCUCUCUGAUGUAACCACCAAUAUAGUUUAAACUUGCCUUGA
rnacentral:lncRNA from 1 species